rnacentral:rRNA from 1 species
AGAGUUUGAUCAUGGCUCAGAAUGAACGCUGGCGGCGUGCUUAACACAUGCAAGUCGUACGAGAACGCUUCUGCUUGCAGAGGCUAGUAAAGUGGCGCACGGGUGAGUAACGCGUGGGUAAUCUACCCCUGGAUUCGGGAUAACCCUUCGAAAGGAGUGCUAAUACCGGAUGAUAUCAUUUAGGCUGCGGCUUAGGUGAUGAAAGAUGGCCUCUCCAUGGAAGCUAUUGUUUGGGGAUGAGCCCGCGUACCAUUAGCUAGUUGGUGGGGUAACGGCCUACCAAGGCAGCGAUGGUUAGCUGGUCUGAGAGGAUGAUCAGCCACACUGGAACUGACACACGGUCCAGACUCCUACGGGAGGCAGCAGUGAGGAAUUUUGCGCAAUGGGGGAAACCCUGACGCAGCAACGCCGCGUGAGUGAAGAAGGCUUUCGGGUCGUAAAGCUCUGUCGAGUGGGAAGAACAUUUGUAUGGUGAACAUCCAUAUGGAUUGACGGUACCACAGAAGGAAGCACCGGCUAACUCCGUGCCAGCAGCCGCGGUAAUACGGAGGGUGCAAGCGUUAUUCGGAAUUAUUGGGCGUAAAGAGCGCGUAGGCGGCUUUACAAGUCAGGUGUGAAAUCCCGGGGCUCAACCCCGGAAGUGCAUUUGAUACUGUAUAGCUUGAGUAUGGGAGAGGGAAGUGGAAUUCCUGGUGUAGCGGUGAAAUGCGUAGAUAUCAGGAGGAACACCGGUGGCGAAGGCGGCUUCCUGGACCAAUACUGACGCUGAGGCGCGAAGGCGUGGGGAGCAAACAGGAUUAGAUACCCUAGUAGUCC